GCAUAUUGGCGUGGAAACAGGCAGCAGAGGCUCUGGUGCRACGCUUUCUGGGACCGUUCUCCUGAUUCUGUCCGUUCAGCUUCAUGGAACUCCUCUGCCCUUGUAGCAAGAGCUUUUCUGACUCCUUCGGUCAUGGGAGAUGAUAGACCCUGCACAAAACAUCUAGAAUGAGCAGGGACAACAUCCACUUCUUUGCUCUUCAAGUCCAUUGCAGCUCACUGCACCUCCACACUUAUGUGCAUCUGCACAGAGCAUCUCUGCUGUGGCUGAAACCUCUGCUGCUGCAUGACGCUUCCACACGCAUCCCUCUGCGGAUUUGGGAGGGCCGGAGGCUGAUUAGACCUGUUUUUUGGACUGGGUCAUCUUACAUUUGCAGCACCUGGACUAGCU